rnacentral:rRNA from 1 species
CCUGGCGGCUUUAGCGCGGUGGUCCCACCUGACCCCAUGCCGAACUCAGAAGUGAAACGCCGUAGCCUCAGAAGUGAAACGCCGUAGCGCCGAUGGUAGUGUGGGGUCUCCCCAUGUGAGAGUAGGGAACUGCCAGGC